rnacentral:lncRNA from 1 species
GGGUGCGUUCAUCACAAUUAUCCGAAUCAAAAAUAAAAGAUAAAUAUUGUUGGAUUUGAUUUGAUUUUAAUUUAAUAUAAAACAUAAAUAACAAUAAAAUAAUAUUACAGUUUAGUUUGGAUCGUUUUUGUUACAAUAAGAUUGUAAAAUGUUUAAAAAAAAAAUGUUAUAUGCCACUAUUAUAUUUAUAAUUUAAAUUUCAUCUCAUAUUCAAGUACAUAAUAAUUAUAGGUAAAAAAAAAUUCAUACAGAUUAAUUAUCUUGUUUAAAUAAAUAUGAAUAUGUUAUACAUAAAUUUCCAGAAAUAUUAUCUAUAUUGUUACGGUGUAAAUUUACUGGGACCGAAGUACUAACCUCAAUGAGGUCUUUUUCUGUGCUUCUGCCCGUUUUUCGUGAUUUCUGACCGUACGUCUUCUCGUCGACUUAGGCACUCCGACGCUCAAGUUAGGCGUGUAUAAGAGAUUCUCUGUUGGAAGAGAACUGAUGAGAGAUAUGUUGUAUGCAGUGUGAGUGAAGUGUAUUCAGAGAGCGUACCUUGUUUGGAAUCCUCUGGCCUUUAUUUAUAGGCUUUGGAUUGAUAUAAUAUUAACAGUAAUAUAAACAGAAUAAAAUAUAAUCUUACUUGACAUAUCUCUGUUAUAAUAUCUUUAUAAGAUAUAUCCGGUGAAUAUAUCCGAAUGAUAUAUUUUUAUGAAUAUUUUAUACGCUGGCCUUUUAUGCUGGAACCUGGAAUUGGGCCUUGAGCCCAAUGGGAAUGUGUGGACCGUUUGUCCACUACGACCGUUCUGUCUUUAGCUAUUUCCGAUCGUUGGAAAUAUAGGAUCGUACA